rnacentral:rRNA from 1 species
UAGGGAAUCUUCGGCAAUGGACGAAAGUCUGACCGAGCAACGCCGCGUGAGUGAAGAAGGUUUUCGGAUCGUAAAACUCUGUUGUUAGAGAAGAACAAUGACGUUAGUAACUGAACGUCCCCUGACGGUAUCUAACCAGAAAGCCACGGCUAACUACGUGCCAGCAGCCGCGGUAAUACGUAGGUGGCAAGCGUUGUCCGGAUUUAUUGGGCGUAAAGCGAGCGCAGGCGGUUUCUUAAGUCUGAUGUGAAAGCCCCCGGCUCAACCGGGGAGGGUCAUUGGAAACUGGGAGACUUGAGUGCAGAAGAGGAGAGUGGAAUUCCAUGUGUAGCGGUGAAAUGCGUAGAUAUAUGGAGGAACACCAGUGGCGAAGGCGGCUCUCUGGACUGUAACUGACGCUGAGGCUCGAAAGCGUGGGGAGCAAACAGG